rnacentral:tRNA from 1 species
GGGGAGAAAGCUCAGCGGCACAGCGCCUGCCUGGCAAGUGUGAGGUCCUGAGUUCAAUUCCCGGUACCCCCC